CUAAAGCUUUAAAAACAGCCCAAAUACUAAUCUGAGUAAUGAGACACAUCUAGUAAUAUAAAUAUAAUCUAAACACGUUUAUAUAUAUUUAACGGGAUAUACAGGUUUAUAAUAUUAAUAACCUAUCAUUUAAACCGGACCGCCUCCGGUAACCCCGGAAGUCCGCCCGACUAUAAAAGCCCCGGUGUGAACAACAAACUCCCUUUCACUACAGCACGAGACCCCGGCCCCGGUUACCCGGCCCCGGUAACCCGCCACCGUUUUGAGAGGAGGAGGAUCUGACCUCUGAGGGUGGAGAAGCUGCUGUUGUCGACCUGACCAACAACUCAGUGCUGCUGGUGGACGAAGGUUGACCAGUUUUCUGGGUGUCUUCCUUCAGGUCCUCAGACAGACCCGUCUGCUGAGAUCAAGAGGGAGAGUCAUAAGGACGAGGCCCCCUCCAGGUGAGAGACGGCAUCAGGACUCACCUCUUGACACGAUUUAAUGAAUGACAUCAUGUUGGGAAGUCUUGAUGACAGGAAUGCAGAUAUAAAUGGAAUUAAAAAUAGUAAUAAUAAAAAUUAUUAUUAUUGAUUUUCAAAUCUUGCGCCUGUCAUACAGAACUAAAUAUCUGGUAGCUUUGAUUGCUCACAUCAGAUCUGUAUUAUAUCCCUAAAAUCUGUUCCCAUCGAAACUCUUUAUUUUAUAAUUGAUAUAAUUACGUUACAUCAGGAAACCCAACGUUAAGUUUACUUUAACAUAAAGUCAGCAAGAGAACAUAAAGUUAACAUUCGUUAUUUUAUUCCCGUCAAAGACAGGAAACUCUUCCGAAGGGAACCGAUUUAAAUGCAACACCGCCGGCGUCUGGAGAUAUGCUGCUCUAUACACGCUAAAAGUAGUGAUUAUUUACAUGGAGUCUGGUGGAGAUAUGCUGCUCUAUACAUGCUAAAAGUAGUGAUUAUUUACAUGGAGUCUGGUGGAGAUAUGCUGCUCUAUACAUGCUAAAAGUAGUGAUUAUUUACAUGGAGUCUGGUGGAGAUAUGCUGCUCUAUACACGCUAAAAGUAGUGAUUAUUUA